rnacentral:rRNA from 1 species
UACGUAGGGUGCUAGCGUUGUUCGGAAUCAUUGGGCGUAAAGCGCGUGUAGGUGGUUAACUAAGUCAGAUGUGAAAUCCCUAGGCUCAACCAAGGAAGUGCAUUUGAAACUGGUUAACUAGAAGAUGGUAGAGGAAGGUGGAAUUCCAGGUGUAGAGGUGAAAUUCGUAGAUAUCUGGAGGAAUACCGGUGGCGAAGGCGGCCUUCUGGACCAUCCUUGACACUAAGACGCGAAAGCGCGGGUAGCAAACAGG